rnacentral:rRNA from 1 species
GACGUAGGGCGCGAGCGUUGUCCGGAUUUAUUGGGCGUAAAGAGCUCGUAGGCGGCUUGUCGCGUCGACUGUGAAAUCCCGCGGCUCAACUGGCGGGUCUGCAGUCGAUACGGGCGGGCUAGAGUUCGGUAGGGGAGACGUGGAAUUCCUGGAUGUAGCGGUGAAAUGCGUAGAGAUCCGGAGGAACCCCAGAGGCGAAGGCGGCGCCCUGGCUCGCAACGUGACGCUCAGACACGACAGCAUGGGGACGCGAACGGG